CAGCAGCCACGGGAAUACGGAGGGAGCUAGCGUUGUUCGGAAUCACUGGGCGUAAAGCGCACGCAGGCGGCUAUUCAAGUCAGGGGUGAAAGCCCGGGGCUCAACCACGGAACUGCCUUUGAAACUAGAUAGCUUGAAUCUUGGAGAGGUGAGUGGAAUUCCGAGUGUAGAGGUGAAAUUCGUAGAUAUUCGGAAGAACACCAGUGGCGAAGGCGACUCGCUGGACAAGUAUUGACGCUGAGGUGCGAAAGCGUGGGGAGCAAACAGGAUUAGAUACCCCAGUAGUCCCUGUCUCUUAUAC
rnacentral:rRNA from 1 species